AGAGUUUGAUCCUGGCUCAGGAUGAACGCUAGCGGCAGGCUUAACACAUGCAAGUCGAGGGGUAUAAGUCUUCGGAUUUAGAGACCGGCGCACGGGUGCGUAACGUGUAUGCAAUCUACCCUUCACAGAGGGAUAGCCCAGAGAAAUUUGGAUUAAUACCUCAUAGUAUAGCUGAACCGCAUGGUUCUACUAUUAAAGUCACAACGGUGAAAGAUGAGCAUGCGUCCCAUUAGCUAGUUGGUAAGGUAACGGCUUACCAAGGCUACGAUGGGUAGGGGUCCUGAGAGGGAGAUCCCCCACACUGGUACUGAGACACGGACCAGACUCCUACGGGAGGCAGCAGUGAGGAAUAUUGGUCAAUGGACGCAAGUCUGAACCAGCCAUGCCGCGUGCAGGAUGACGGUCCUAUGGAUUGUAAACUGCUUUUGCACAGGAAGAAACAACUCUACGUGUAGAGUCUUGACGGUACUGUGAGAAUAAGGAUCGGCUAACUCCGUGCCAGCAGCCGCGGUAAUACGGAGGAUCCAAGCGUUAUCCGGAAUCAUUGGGUUUAAAGGGUCCGUAGGCGGUUUAGUAAGUCAGUGGUGAAAGCCCAUCGCUCAACGGUGGAACGGCCAUUGAUACUGCUAGACUUGAAUUAUUAGGAAGUAACUAGAAUAUGUAGUGUAGCGGUGAAAUGCUUAGAGAUUACAUGGAAUACCAAUUGCGAAGGCAGGUUACUACUAAUGGAUUGACGCUGAUGGACGAAAGCGUGGGUAGCGAACAGGAUUAGAUACCCUGGUAGUCCACGCCGUAAACGAUGGAUACUAGCUGUUGGAAGCAAUUUCAGUGGCUAAGCGAAAGUGAUAAGUAUCCCACCUGGGGAGUACGUUCGCAAGAAUGAAACUCAAAGGAAUUGACGGGGGCCCGCACAAGCGGUGGAGCAUGUGGUUUAAUUCGAUGAUACGCGAGGAACCUUACCAAGGCUUAAAUGUAGAUUGACCGGUUUGGAAACAGACUUUUCGCAAGACAAUUUACAAGGUGCUGCAUGGUUGUCGUCAGCUCGUGCCGUGAGGUGUCAGGUUAAGUCCUAUAACGAGCGCAACCCCUGUUGUUAGUUGCCAGCGAGUCAUGUCGGGAACUCUAACAAGACUGCCAGUGUAAACUGUGAGGAAGGUGGGGAUGACGUCAAAUCAUCACGGCCCUUACGCCUUGGGCUACACACGUGCUACAAUGGCCGGUACAGAGAGCAGCCACUGGGCGACCAGGAGCGAAUCUACAAAACCGGUCACAGUUCGGAUCGGAGUCUGCAACUCGACUCCGUGAGGCUGGAAUCGCUAGUAAUCGGAUAUCAGCCAUGAUCCGGUGAAUACGUUCCCGGGCCUUGUACACACCGCCCGUCAAGCCAUGGAAGCUGGGGGUGCCUGAAGUCGGUGACCGCAAGGAGCUGCCUAGGGUAAAACUGGUAACUAGGGCUAAGUCGUAACAAGGUA
rnacentral:rRNA from 1 species